rnacentral:tRNA from 1 species
GGGCGCAUGGUUUAGUGGUAUAAUACUCCCUUAGCAUGUUCGAAGCAAUUCGACAACUAAUUGGGAGUGGUCCUGGGUUCGAUUCCCAGUGUGUCCA